AUUGAACGCUGGCGGCAUGCCUUACACAUGCAAGUCGAACGGCAGCACGGGUGCUUGCACCUGUUGGCGAGUGGCGAACGGGUGAGUAAUACAUCGGAACAUGUCCUGUAGUUGGGGAUAGCCCUGCGAAAGCCGGAUUAAUACCGCAUACGAUCUACGGAUGACAGCGGGGGACCUUCGGGCCUCGCGCUGUUGGGUUUGCCGAUGGCUGAUUAGCUAGUUGGUGGGGUAAAGGCCUACCAAGGCGACGAUCAGUAGCUGGUCUGAGAGGACGACCAGCGACACUGGGAGUGAGACAGGGCCCAGACUCCUACGGGAGGCAGCAGUGGGGAAUGUUGGACAAUGGGCGAAAGCCUGAUCCAGCAAUGCCGCGUGUGUGAAGAAGGCCUUCGGGUUGUAAAGCACUUUUGUCCGGAAAGAAAUCCUUGGCCCUAAUACGGUCGGGGGAUGACGGUACCGGAAGAAUAAGCACCGGCUAACUACGUG
rnacentral:rRNA from 1 species